rnacentral:rRNA from 1 species
GCGGUUNAUUGGANUCACGCCGGAAUCUCACCGGGAGCGACAGCAGUAUGAUUGCCAGGUUGAUGACCUUGCUUGACUAGCUGAGAGGAGGUGCAUGGCCGUCGUCAGUUCGUACUGUGAAGCGUCCUGUUAAGUCAGGCAACGARCGAGACCCUYGCCCCCAGUUGCCAGCUUAUUCUUUCGGGAUGCUGGGUACCCUAGGGGGACCCCCCUUGCUAAGGUGGAGAAGGGAUAGGGCGACGGUAGGUCAUUAUGCCCCAAAUCUCCCGGGCUACCCGCGGCCUACAUUGGACGGGACAAUAGUCUCCAAUCCCAAARGGGAAAGGAAWUCCUCUAAACCUGUUCUAAUUUCGAAUUGAGGGCUGUAACUCCCCCUCUUAAACCUGGAUUCUCUAUAAUUCCCUUGUCAUUAUCNUGCGGUGAAUACUUCCUUGNUCCUUGC